AUAAAAUUCAAAACUUUAGACUAUAAUUAGACUUUUGUCUGAAAAUAAUUUUCACAGCCAAAAAACUCACCGGAAACCACCACUCAAGAAAACAACACUAGUAGUAUCAUAUAUGCAAUUUAUUUUUUACUUUAUAGAGAGAAUUUUUUUCAAGAAUCUUGAAAAUUUAGAGUUUUAUGAUUGUGGGGGUUUUUGUGAAAAAGUGAUUGGUUGUGUGAAAAAGGGGUGUAUUGGGUGGUGGCUGAUGAAGCUAAAGGAGUGAGCUUUUGAGUUUUGGAAGAGCAAAAGGGAGGGACGACGUCGUUUUGAAGUUGUGUAGUGAUGAAGAUUCUUGUUAGAUUCCUUUUUAUGUUAUUGGUGAUCUUUAAUCCUAAUGCUCAACAGACUGCACGAGCAUUCACAGGAACAUAUGGGAUUAAUUACGGAAGAAUUGCAGAUAAUAUCCCUUCACCUGAUAAAGUGGUUAAACUUCUUCGGGCAGCAAAAAUUAAGAAUGUUAGAAUUUAUGAUGCAGAGCCUAGUGUACUUAAUGCGUUUAAAGGAACAGGGCUUGAGCUAGUGGUUGGACUUCCGAAUGGGUUUGUAAAAGAAAUGAGUGCUAAUGCAGAUCAUGCUCUGACUUGGGUAAAAGAUAAUGUGAAGGCAUUCCUUCCUGAUACCCGCAUUGUUGGCAUCGCUGUUGGAAAUGAGGUUUUGGGGGGUAGUGACAAUGAACUGGAGGUAGCCCUUCUGAAUGCUGUAAAGAAUGUAUACAAUGCAACAAAAAAGCUUGGGAUAAGUGAUGUUGUUCAGAUAUCGACUGCACACUCGCAGGCUGUUUUUGCUGAUUCGUUCCCUCCUUCUUAUUGUGUAUUUAAAGAUGGUGUUGCUCAGUUGAUGAAGCCACUUUUAGAGUUCUUCUCGAAAAUUGGAUCUCCGUUCUGUCUAAAUGCUUAUCCAUUUUUGGCUUACACGUACAACUCAGAUAAAAUAGACAUAAAUUAUGCUCUUUUUCAGCCAAAUGAAGGCAUUGUUGACAAUAAAACUCAUCUACAUUAUGACAACUUGCUCGAUGCUCAGAUUGAUGCAGCAUAUGCAGCUCUAGAGGAUGCUGGUUUCAGGAAAAUGGAAGUCAUUGUUACGGAAACAGGCUGGGCCUCUGAUGGGGAUGAGAAUGAACCUGCUGCCACCCCAAGUAAUGCUAGAACAUAUAAUUAUAAUCUGCGUAAAAGGCUCGCCAAGAGGAAAGGAACUCCAUUGAGGCCGAAAAAAAUGUUGAAGGCAUAUAUUUUUGCACUCUUCAAUGAGUAUCAAAAGCCAGGUCAAUCAUCAGAGAAGAACUUCGGACUCUUCAAAGCUGAUGGUAGUAUAUCUUAUGAUGUUGGUUUCUCUGGGCUGCAAGAUAUUUCAGCUGCAUCUUCGCUUUUUUCUUUGAAGGAGUAGGACUGGAAAGAGAUUGAGAGUAUGUACCAGAGUUGACGAGGGGGGUGAAAGGGGUUAGAUCCAUUGGCUAAAACUAGACUUCUUUUCUGUUACUGAGUACUUCAGAAGCUUCUUGUUCUGCUACUUUGAACUUUUAUAGAAAGAGGAAAUGAGCAGACGGAAAAAAAGAAAAGGAAACAAGAGGAGAAGGCAACAUGGAUAUCAUGCUGUUCUUGGUGUCUCCGAGACUGUUUGGUGCCUGAGUUGGAACUUUGGAAAUACUGGGAAUGCAAGCUCAAGGGUACUAUUUGUCAGCGACAGCAAUCACAACUUCAAUAUCGAUUCUUCUGUCGAGGUUAUGACAACAUUUUUUGAUCUCUCAUCUUAUACGAAUUACCAGAUUAGCGUCUUCGUAUUUCCUAGUUAUAAAAACUGCUACAUCAACAACAUUAGGAAAUGCAGUCUCUUAGAUCUUCAUCGCUAGUCGACCAUGGAGAUUGCUGAUUGUUUUUGAAUUUUUCAGCAAUGCACUAUCAGUAUAUAUGAAAUAAGUUCUUUCUUGGUUUAUCUUG